UCCCCCCGCUCGACCCCACCAAACUCUCUCACGAAUCUCUCAAAAAAAAAACUCUCUCUCUCGCGAACCUCACCCCACCCCUUGGUCGAUCUCCUCUCCCCACGAUCUCCUCGCCGCCGCCACCACCCACGCCGGCCGGUUCCGGCGAGCUCCGGCCGCGCGCCACACGCCCCCAAGAUCCUCAAGCUCCGCCCCUCCGUCCCCUCCAUCCAGAUCCGUGCCUAAGGCCUGCACCUUUGCCCGCGGCUAGGGUUUCGGGCGCCUCCCGUGUUCUUGCCGGAAUCCACCACAAUCGGCGAUGGCGAGGCCGGAGCUUGCGGGAUCCGUCACCGGCGGCGGCGGAGAGCCCUCGGGCACCGCGUCCUCCACCCCGGCGUCUGGCGGCAGGAGGAUCCUGCGCACGCAGACCGCGGGCAACCUUGGCGAGUCCGUCUUCGACAACGAAGUGGUCCCCUCCUCGCUCGUUGAGAUCGCCCCCAUCCUCCGCGUCGCCAACGAGGUCGAGGCAAGCAACCCGCGCGUCCCGUACCUAUCACCGAGUCUGCCUGCAUAUUAUAUUCUUCAUGCUGGAGUAUAAGACUAGUGCUAUCUUGCAGCCGGAUGACAUCUCGGCCAGCAUGCACAAGUGACCGCAUCGCCAUGGCUUCACCGGUUGAUCUUCUCGCUACCGUCAUCUCGCCAUGGCUCCACUAAUACUCUCCACUGUCACCUUGCUAUGGUUCCACCGUCAUGGUCACUGGCCCAAUGAAAUUGACCUAGUGAUUUUGAUGGAGUGAUGAGUUAAGAUUAAUUUACAGCCCCGAUUUGGCUUAUUUGUAUUUUUGUUUGGAAGAUCAAGGAUUUGUAAGAUUGACUACAACUAUCCCUCUUGCUUUAAAUCAGGGGCAUAUAUGCAUGGAUGAAUGACCGACAAACAUGUACAGGUUAAUGCAUGCACGGAGUGUGUUUCUAUGUGUUGCAACCGUCGUGGUCAUCAUCGUCGAUUUGUCAUGGUGAUCGUCGUCGUCGUCAUUGUUCGUUGCCGGGGACGUCCCCGGAAAGUACUCGGCGUCGACUAAGCCAACACUAUGCAUCCAUGGCUAAAUAUCAAGCUAGCUGCUUGCCCUCACACGCAACACUAAUCCACUCAGAUUGCACGAGCGAGUUCGGGAGUUAUGCCAGAACAUGAUUGUGAGUCAAUCUGAUCUUAUUAUUCGAAACUUUGUUCCGCACCUUAGGGGGUUACUAAUGCAAUACUUAUCAAUUUUAUUGUAUGCAAUCAUAUAUGGUGCAGAGGUCAAAACGAUUUAAAGUACUGUUUAUAUUCUGCAUUUAAAGGCUCAUCUCCUCAUAUUGUCAUUUAUUUUUUGUACAGUGCAAAACAUAGCAGUUUUUUUAUUCCAAUUUAUCAGGUGCAAACUUCUAUGGGUUAUCAAGUGGUACCUUUUUAUUUUCCUAAUUGACUUGCAGCUAGCAGACUGGUAAUAUACACUCACCCUCUCUAUAUGCUCGAUCUCAAUACUGGAAUGAUUUUUUUUGCUACCAUGCAAUAUUGUUUGCCGGAUAUUUCUACAUUGAAUUACCCUAAAUCAUUUGUGCAAUUAAAGGUGUGUAAUCCUGAUGACAUAUGUUUGCUGUAUUUCCUUGGAACUUUCAUUUUCUGUUUGUGAAUUAAUCGCCAAAUGAACGAGUGACAGUGUUGCUUCAGUGCCAAAACAUGUCAAGUACUUUUAUACUCCUUUCUGUGACAGGACUACUGUAACUACUUUUUGCCUCUUCAUACCUCUCUGAAUCACCCUGCAUUAGUUCCCGAUUUCAAUGGGCAUAUCACUCGCACAAGUUGCUCAUGUUAAGGACAAUCUUACGUUAUUUACAACCGUGGAGCAUCACCGUGAUUACCUUACAUUGUCAUAGUUGGUGAGCUGAACAAUGAUGUGAUCACACAACUGUAGUAUCUGAUUUGUGUAUUCCACGUAUGCUAUUGAUACUUCUGCUUAGGUAGUUUCUACUUGCUACAGUUGAACACUAUAUCAUGUUAUGUACUCUGGUCGUGGUUAGUAGAAAAUAGUUUAACUUGCAUUUUGAGGUUCUAAUGUUUGUAUUGAGCUCUUGAUCCUAAAUAUUUUUCCAUAAUUGUUCUCUCUUUUAUAGAUUGCCUUAUGAUUAUUCAUAUGCAUUAUAGUACUUUGUCCUAGUUAAUGAAGACUUUUCCCAAUAUUAUCCUUUCCCAUGCCUCGAAACUAUGAACCUGGCCCAGAGAAUGAUUUUUUUAGGAUUCAUGGUUAUUUUUUCUUGUUAUUAGCCAUUACUAUUGAUUCAUGUGCAUGUGCUAAAAAGAAAGAAAAUACCCUACUGGAUUUGGAUGCGGACGCCAACUAACAAAUUUUCACUUUCCGACGUGGGCGUAGGGGUGAUUGACGUGGACUACUGCGGCCUGGUGGGCGUCGUGCUCUUCAACCACUCGGAGGUGGACUUCAUCAUGAAGCCCGACGACCGCGCCGCACAGAUGAUCAUCAAAGUCAUUGCGACACCGGAGGUCGCCGAGGUGGAGGACAUCGACGUCACCGUCCGGCGGGAGGGAGUGUUCGAAUCCAUCGAUGUUUGAACUUCGAGCCUUGGUAGAUACAUCUAGAGAAGUGGUCUAGUUGUUUGCAUCUGAUGUUAAAUGGGAUCUCGUGAUCUCGAGUUGAGAUGGUCAAUGUUGUAUCCAUGAAUGCUGCAAGUGCUAAGAUGGUUCUGUGAACUUUUAUUUACACUAGACGUGUCUUGAUUUC